rnacentral:rRNA from 1 species
CGAAUCCUACGGGGCGCAGCAGUGGGGAAUAUUGCACAAUGGGGGAAACCCUGAUGCAGCAACGCCGCGUGAGUGAAGAAGUGUUUCGGUAUGUAAAGCUCUAUCAGCAGGGAAGAAGAUGACGGUACCUGAGUAAGAAGCCCCGGCUAACUACGUGCCAGCAGCCGCGGUAAUACGUAGGGGGCAAGCGUUAUCCGGAUUUACUGGGUGUAAAGGGAGCGUAGACGGCUGCGCAAGUCUGAAGUGAAAGCCCGGGGCUCAACCCCGGGACUGCUUUGGAAACUGCCCGGCUAGAGUGCUGGAGG